AGCUUCUGCCCGCGCGGAGAUAAACAAGCACCGCGACCGCCGAGCAGCGCCGAACCCAGCGCGCCCAGUCAGACCCCAGGGCCUGUGUACCGAGCAUGCGCAGUUCCCGCCCAAGCCAGGAGCAGCGUCAACCUGAGACUCCCGAGACAUUAAGAAUUCGGAAGGGAUGAGAUGGUAGAGGGGCUAGAGCUACCUCCAAGCUUUAUCCUGAGGCGGGGAGUGAAGGAGAGAUGCCCAAGGCCCAAGAGGGGCCGCGAGGGCCUUUGUCCGAUGCCACCCAGUCUGUCAGCACUCCUAGAGCUUUGGUUUUAUCUUGUAUUAGCAUGUGAAGCUUUAAGGGGGGGGCACCUACAGGCUUCUGACUGAAGUUGUGUAAACGCAACAAAAUGAAGCUUUGGAGCGUUAGGACAUUGAUGGGAGGGUGACGCCCCCCUCUAGCAGCGCGCCAGAGGGGCGAGUCAGAGGCGGCCACACACCACGGAAGUCGGGUCCAAGCCCGCUGACGUCGCCGGGGUCCCGCCCACCAACCCUCUGGACCCGCCCACCUCCCAGUGCCUUGCCAGGCGGGGCUCUUCGCGCACGCUCUGCCAACCAAUCGUAGGUGAGCUGGCGAGUGACGGAAGCUUCGGCCAAGCCAACCAGAGCUCGCGAGCCCCUUGCCACCGAGGCCGGCGGGAUGGAGACAGGGACCGGCUGCUGGGGUUUGGGAGGGGCAGAGAUUGAGGAGCCAGUUGCUGUGCCCUGUUCUGGCAAAAGAACAAGAUGCGUUGCAAGCCAGAAUGAUGAAUUCCACUUUUCACGUCGCCUCCGUGGCAUUCUGCCUAAAUGAUGGGCAUGGAAAUGGUGCUGAGGGAUGUGGGCUGAAUCGAGAACACAGGGACUUUUGUCUUCAGGGUGAGAAAUGUUCCGGUCCUUAAGGAAACAUCGUGCAGCAGUUGCAUGGGUCUUCCAGGCGUUCCUCCCAAAACAUUAUUUUUUUUCUUUCACUAUUGAGUUUUAAAACUUAGCGUUCUGUCGCUAGCAUUGCAUCUUAGUUACACAUCCUCUCCCACCCAUAACGUCAAAUUUAGGAGACGAUACAUCCCCAAGCUUUCCUGCAUUAUUUUUUGCAGUAACUGGUUAUUCAGUUUACUUUCUUUAAACUAUGUCCUUCUCAAACUAGUCUCACCUGUUCGUUACUGUCGCACAUUUCCUGCGAAUAACACGUUUCUGUAGUUCUGUUGUUAGAGCCUGGCAUACCUCUCCCCGUUCCUCUUUCCCACAAGGUCAUCAUGCAGAGGGGAUUUUGGUCUGAGUUAAAAGCCAGGUAUUCUUUCACCAUCUUUUCUGUCGAUAGUCAAACUACUACAAAGACUACUCAAAUUUAGUAGUUUCUUAUUUCCCUAUAGCUUCGUUAUAUUAGAAUGGAUAACUUAUAUUUGCAUUACCUUGCUGUAAUGAACACACACCAAGUUUUCAUUUAAAAUUAUCAAGGACAAAUGUCCUCUGAAUUUAAAAAUGUGUAUGUAGUAAAAUAUAACUCAGCAUUUCUUGAUUACAUAUCAUUAAAAUAUGAAUGGUACUAUCUGAGCCACCAGAAUCAGCAGUGAAGGUAUUAUAUUAAUAAAAAGGACUAAGAAUCAGGACUGUUUUAAGGGAACUGGAACCGAAGAGGAUCUACUAUUUCAUCCUAGGCUAGUUAACAUGAAAUAGUGAAUUAAAAUUGAAAGAGCUUACAUGGAUGCUUCAUAUCUGAGCUACUUUGGCAGGGAUGUUUCAAGAGGAUGUAGGUAAGUAUGGUGUUCACCUAGCUUUCCAGAAGUCUCAUAUUUUGUGUAAAAUUGGUAUGCUUAUUCAUGGUUACUUUGGGUUAGUAGAAGCUAUACUUCUUUUCCAAGGAAAGACAGACUGUCUUAAGAUUCUAACUGUGCAUCUUGGUGAUAAGAAGUUCUUAGGGUUGUUAAAUAGAGCCAGGAAGCGUGAAGCUUUCUCUCUAGAUCAUGACAACUCAUCUAGUACCUUGCAUUACAAAGGAGCUCUAAGUCCAUUUACUUUGCAAGGAAUGAAGUUCCAGUGAUUAAUGUUUUUGAGAAAUUUGUAUUGGGAUUGUGGGGUCCAGAAGGUUGCCUUAAGUAACUGUUUUCAUGACUCCUAGGUCCCUAGAUGUUGAGAAGCUCUGGAUUGAAGCUGUCACAAAAAUAGUGAGUGGGCUCCGUAGUCACUCCAUUUAGCAUAAUACAGAGUAGGACAGCUUUGUGACAUUUCUCAGGCUAUUUCCCCUGACCUCUCAUCAAUGCUGACGUUUUUGAUAAGAAGGGGUAUAGAGACUGCAGCCCUUGGGGUGGUUACAGUUCAUUUAUUUACAGGCCUUAUAUUGACAGGCCUCAGAUUUCAUGCUCAGUACCAUAAAGGUUGAUUUUUAACCACCAAGAGGCAAAAGAAACAUGACAGGUCGGAGCAUAUUUUCUCACCUAUUCUGGCUUAAAUGAUGGUACUUACCUGAUUUGUGGUUGUAGGUGAAAUGUUGGGUGAAAGAUUAGCUGCUAUAAAAAGGAUGUCAGGACGUGUAGAGAAUUUAGAGGACUUGGGUGGGAGAUGGAUGUCUAUUUUCUAACCCCUUAGUCAUGUUCAUUCCGAUGCCAGCAUAAACUCUAUUUUGAGAUGAUUAUAGAAAUAACUUAUAUCUUCAUUUGUUUGUGGGAAAUAAAAAAUAAAAAUGAUAUAAAAGAAAUUUGAAUUAUUCCCAAGAGCUGUAAAUCUGUAAGAUAGUGAAAACUUAACGCAGUAACUGACACUGCAGGAUCCCUUUAGUUUCCAAAGUGCAUUGCCAGGAGAAUAAAAAGAAAGAAAAUCUUCAUUUCUCCUCUCUCCACUAAAUCUGAAAGGGAGUUAUCUCACCUAUAGCCAGAUACCUUCAAUUAUCGCACUUGUGUUACCGUGGAAACCCAAGUCCAUCCUUUCUUUCUGUAAAAGGUGUUGGAAAAGGUGGUAUGAAGUGGGAAAGGUACUGUAUUCUGGGACUUCCUGACACCAGCAAGAAGCAAAUAUGCAGAUAAUUUAAUAGAAACAAAUUAGUAGAGGAUGUUUGUAAUGCGAGGGGUACUUUUCGACUGUAAAACCCUGAUUCCUAAUGCUUCUUAUUAAAGCCUGCAUGCCUCUGAUUAAACAUAAAGGGGAAGGGCAUGUCAAGUACAUUUAGCACCUGUGAAACGCUGCUGGCAAGUAUAAGGAGAGCAGACGAUGGUUUCUUGACCUGUGAGGCUCCUAAUACAGUUGAGAAUCUGCAGUAUAUAUGUGGAGUGGAAAGGAAGGGGCAAAAUAAACUUUGUUCUUCCUUUAAAAAAUGUGAUAUGUCUCAGUGCUUUUGAAAAGAAAAGGAAUUAGAAUGCAGAAAUUAAGAGUAUGGAAACAACUCAAUAAAAGAAACGUAUGGGUGGAGAGAGUAGAUGUUUCAAAAGGCCAUUUUAAUCAGAAAAAAAAUCUGAAAGAAAAGACGUAAUGAUUAAAAUGUAGGCAGAAAAAAGAAAAAGCCUGAAGAAUCUUAAGAGCUAGAGGAUUCUGCGGAAAACAGAGCUUCAGUGUGGUUCAUUUAACAAAGCAGAAGAGCAGGCACAGUGUUGCUUGCGUACCCAGCAGUUUCCCUUUAUUUUUGCCAAAGAAGCUGGGAUGAAUCAGGAUUGGACUUUAAUAGCAUUGCUUUCCCUCUGCCCACGGUUAGUCCAAAAGUAGGCACGUGACUCAGUUCUUGUCAUUGGAAUGGGGAGAAGGCUGCUAGGGCUGGAGGGAUUUCUAGGAUAUUGACAAGAGUGAGGAAAUAUCCCCGUUUUCUGAUGUCGCUCUCUUUGCUUCCUGCUUUACACAUUGAAAUAUGAGAAUGUGGCCUCCAUUUGGGGGCUAUGAUGCAUUAUGACAUUAUGGUGCAAUACUGUAGAAAGCCAGCAACUUCGGAUGGCCAGGGAGGAGGAUGGGAAGAACCUAGGUCCUGCAUGACAACAUUGGACAGUCAAACCAACAUUAGAACUGCCCACAUUUGGACUUAUGGCUAAGUAAACAGCUGGUGUCUUUCAAUUUAAGUGUGUGUUGGUAAGGUUUUCUGCAUCUUACAGCAAAAUACAUCCCACCUGUUAACAAAAAGUAUGAGGGAUUCCAGCCAAAAUCGGGCUUUAAAAAAUCAGCAAGCAUUUGUGAGCACUUUCAUUUCACUAAUAUCUGAACGAUAGUUCAAAGAUACUAUAAUAUUAAUUGAGUAAUUACUGUGUAUAUUUUUUAGGCUCUGGGGAUAAAACAAUAAGCAAUUAGCCAAAAGAGCUUGUAUUCUAGCAGGAGAGACAGAUAUUAAGCAACCAAUUACAUGUUUAUAUUAUAAAAUAAUGGUUAUGCUUAAAACUAAUAAGGAAAAAUCAGGAAUUAGAAAGGGUAUAUAGUAAUUAUAUAAAUAAUAAAAUAUUACAAAAUAUAUAACUAAAUAACUGAAUGAAAUUACAAAAACAAACACUUUCCAAGUAAAUGAGAAUGAAAUGUAUAGUUUUUACUGACAUUCCCAGAGGUCGAGAGAAACAGUAAAUUGGAGUAGGUUAGUCCAGGAGAGUUGUCUGAAGCAAAUUAAUAUUGUAUCAGGUUUUGAAGGAAGUGGCGAAAGGACAGGCUAGAUGGGGCAGAAGAGAGCACUCUAGAUGUAAGGAACCAGAAGAGCAAAGGAAGAAAGCAGGAAUGAAGUAAGAGUGAAUGAGGGAAAUACCAGAAUCACUUGAUUUUUUAAAUUCCCUGUAGCAACAGCAUUCUAGGGGCAUCUCUCAGAGAAAAAGACAGAAAGAUGCCAGAAGUCUCAAAGCAAGAUUAUUUAAAGGUAUAAAAAUAAUAUAGGAGAAAAAUACAGAAGACAAAGUAGGAGUACAAGAGUGCAUUUGAAAUUAAGGCGUCAUUCAAAAUAAUGAAUAAUUUAUAAUGUGGGCGUCAAAAGAGUUGUCAUAAGAAGUAAUUAUGGAUUUAAGGGCAUCAAGAAGGAGGGAUUCAAACUUUCACAAAUAGAAAUAGAAGGAAACAUGAGGAGUGGCAAAAAAUGAAGACAGGUAGAAAAACAGUUUUUGCUUGUUAUUUUUCCAUGAUAGCUGUUAUUGACAUGCAUUAUGUAGAAAUGAAUGGAAUUUGUUUGAAAAGAAAAAUUUCAAUAGAGCAGUAAUACAUAAAGGUAGGCUUUUUGGUAAAUAGUGUAAUUUAAAAUGUUUUCACUAGAAUGCCUUUUUGUACCUUCCUGUAGGAAAAUCUUUUCAACAAAAAAAGCUGUAAGUCAUAAUAAGUUACAGAUUAGCAAAGCAUUUUUGAAAUAAAAAAAAACCCAUAGAUGUGCCAAAUGUAAUAGUAGAGCAACAAUAAUAAAUAUUUGUAAUAAAAAUCAGAACUUGUUAGGCAUUAUGUGGUUUCUGGUCAAAUAUGGUUGUACUAAUUUUUCUAAUGCUAUUUUCUGUACAAAUAUAAGAAUUUUUUAAAUUAAGCUAUGGUAGGUAUAUGAACACAUCUUGAUAUUACUGGAGGUAGGAUUUACCACUCACUUUUUGUGACCCCAAGUGUAACCCUGAACAGACUUCUGUCUUAACACCAAUAACACAUGAUUGCACUGUCUUCUCCAGUGACUGGGGAAAGGGACAGUGCUUUGUUCAUUUUUGCUUUACCAGCAUUCAGCACAUCGCCUAAAAACAAUUGUGGGAAUUCAUAAAAUGUUUGUAAAUAAAUGAGCAAUUGAGUGGACUAUAAUGUUGCUUCUAAAAACCCUGGGUUUUGAACACAGAGAAGAUGAGAAUAAAAGGAAAGGAAUAAGGAUUUUCCCCAAAUCAAGGUGAGGUUGAUGUAAAUGUCCUCCAAAGUUGGUCUAAUCUCCAAAGAAGCUUGUAUCUCAAAAACAGUAAGUCUCCAACAGGCAAAGUCAAUGGCAGUUUGUAGACCUGGAAUUUAGGAGUGCCAGGAAAGAUCUGAAAAAUCAUGUCUUCUAUCAACUGACUGUUGUCUGAAAUUCUGCACUUAGGUUUUAGUCUUUUGAUGUAAAAGUUAUUUUUUUCCAAUUAAAAUGUAAGUAGGAGAUAUACAGUUAAAUUGUACCAUCAGUCUGUCAACUUCGGGGCAUGCAACUAUGCUUACCUGGAUGAAAAAGAAAAUGAAGAAAGUAAAAUAGAAGAACGUAGUUUAAAUUGGGGGAUAAGUCAUGGCAUGAGUAUGUGCCCAGAGCGAGUAUAAGAAGGCCAUGGAAAUCCACUGUAUUUUUGUCAUACACUUAUUAAUUUGUUUCAAUAAGGUUAAUCACUCCACAUGGUGUAACAAGAAAAAUAACAGCCUUUACAAUUACUAGAUUCUUAAACUUAUUUCAAAUACUUUUUAAUUUUUAUGAGAUUAUAAGAAUUUUUUAAACUUUGAAGCUGCAUGCCUUGUCUGAUUCCUUCCAUUUCUCUUCUGCUUCUCACAUUAUUGUGUUCAGCAAUGGUUUGGAGGCAUCUUGGGGAAGACAGAGCAGAGUUAUGGUGUAAGGACCAUCCAACUCUUCUCAGCAGCCAUCCAGUUAUCUUGUCAAGGGAAGUUACUCAUCCUGCUCUCUAGAAUUAUCUCCUCAAAAAUCGGUUUCCUGCUUUUCACAGAACAGUACACCAUCUUUUACUAUUAUCCUAAUUAAUGCUUCUCACACAGCCUUACAAAAUAUUAGUCACUUAAUUAUUAACCACAUUCAUUGGGCUGCACUAGUUGAAAAAGAUGUCUUGUUUACUUAGUCAAAGCGCUGUCUCUGUGCAAUGGCAUUGAUGGUGAAAUUGAUCAGAGUCUACGUUUGAAUGAGAGAAGCUGAGGGAGACAUUUCAGAAAUAGUAAGCCUUUUUAUUUCCUUGGUGUACCAGGUAGUCAAGGAAAGUUAAAGUAUUUUUUUAUACUUUGUCUUGAUUACAUUCUUUUGGGGACUGGUCUCUGGUGUUAGGUUUUUAAUAAAGAUUUUGGCCAUUUUCCAUGCAAACUAAUGUUUCCAAUGAAAAGAUACAACAUUGCAUGUAAAUUACCUAAGAAAUAUUAAUCUGUCAAUGUAAUUAAAUUAUAUAAGCAACAAUUAGUUUCAAAGCUGGAAUGGAUUAAGUCAGUUCUAUACUGCACACUGACAAAGUGAAAGGAACUAAAAUGGACAAAUUGUGGUGCUGUAAGGUUAUGAUUCUUAAGAUUUUUAUAUUAAAGUUGCAGAGUUUCAAAGUGCUCAGUGCUGCUCUUUACAUUAGGGCUGUAGACUCUCUUAAGCCCGAGGAUUCUAUCUGGAUAUGUGAUUGAUAGGGUGGAGGCUGGGCUGAGGCUUAGUAAGACAUUUAACCAUGCUUUGUAUAAUACUCCUUAAAUGUUGGCUCUCACAAACAUAGAAAUAGCGAACAUUAACUAGCUCUCUGUUUCAAUGUCUACCAUCUACCUGUCAACUUAAAAUCAUGAAAUCUAUAAAUUUGGAGAGGAGAGCUUUAUUUCUUACCAAGAGUUGCAGCCAGCAGGGUGGCCAUCCUAACUGGCUGGGAAGUGUAACCUCAGGCAGAGACCAAAAGCAAGUUAUUCAAGGGAGGAUGAGAUAGGAAUUUAUGCUGAAUGGAUUGGCCAAGUAUAUUUAUUUAACAGAUUGUAGGAGGAGCUAUACAUAUCCAUGAAGAGGGGGCAUGUGCAUGAAUAGUAAGCAAACAUGGAUGUUACAUGCAUCCCUUGUUCACUUUGGGGUGCAGACUUCACAUUUAAAUGCAUUCCAAUUAAGCCCU
rnacentral:lncRNA from 1 species